rnacentral:rRNA from 1 species
UGGAGGACCGAACCGACUAAUGUUGAAAAAUUAGCGGAUGACCUGUGGCUGGGGGUGAAAGGCCAAUCAAACCGGGAGAUAGCUGGUUCUCCCCGAAAGCUAUUUAGGUAGCGCCUCGUGAAUUCAUCUCCGGGGGUAGAGCACUGUUUCGGCUAGGGGGCCAUCCCGGCUUACCAACCCGAUGCAAACUGCGAAUACCGGAGAAUGUUAUCACGGGAGACACACGGCGGGUGCUAACGUCCGUCGUGAAGAGGGAAACAACCCAGACCGCCAGCUAAGGUCCCAAAGUCAUGGUUAAGUGGGAAACGAUGUGGGAAGGCCCAGACAGCCAGGAUGUUGGCUUAGAAGCAGCCAUCAUUUAAAGAAAGCGUAAUAGCUCACUGGUCGAGUCGGCCUGCGCGGAAGAUGUAACGGGGCUAAACCAUGCACCGAAGCUGCGGCAGCGACGCUGAUGCGUUGUUGGGUAGGGGAGCGUUCUGUAAGCCUGUGAAGGUGGCCUGUGAGGGUUGCUGGAGGUAUCAGAAGUGCGAAUGCUGACAUAAGUAACGAUAAAGCGGGUGAAAAGCCCGCUCGCCGGAAGACCAAGGGUUCCUGUCCAACGUUAAUCGGGGCAGGGUGAGUCGACCCCUAAGGCGAGGCCGAAAGGCGUAGUCGAUGGGAAACGGGUUAAUAUUCCCGUACUUGGUGUUACUGCGAAGGGGGGACGGAGAAGGCUAUGUUGGCCGGGCGACGGUUGUCCCGGUUUAAGCGUGUAGGUGUGUGUUCCAGGUAAAUCCGGUUCACUUUAACACUGAGGCGUGAUGACGAGGCACUACGGUGCUGAAGCAACAAAUGCCCUGCUUCCAGGAAAAGCCUCUAAGCAUCAGGUAACAUCAAAUCGUACCCCAAACCGACACAGGUGGUCAGGUAGAGAAUACCAAGGCGCUUGAGAGAACUCGGGUGAAGGAACUAGGCAAAAUGGUGCCGUAACUUCGGGAGAAGGCACGCUGACACGUAGGUGAAGUGAUUUACUCAUGGAGCUGAAGUCAGUCGAAGAUACCAGCUGGCUGCAACUGUUUAUUAAAAACACAGCACUGUGCAAACACGAAAGUGGACGUAUACGGUGUGACGCCUGCCCGGUGCCGGAAGGUUAAUUGAUGGGGUCAGCGCAAGCGAAGCUCCUGAUCGAAGCCCCGGUAAACGGCGGCCGUAACUAUAACGGUCCUAAGGUAGCGAAAUUCCUUGUCGGGUAAGUUCCGACCUGCACGAAUGGCGUAAUGAUGGCCAGGCUGUCUCCACCCGAGACUCAGUGAAAUUGAACUCGCUGUGAAGAUGCAGUGUACCCGCGGCAAGACGGAAAGACCCCGUGAACCUUUACUAUAGCUUGACACUGAACAUUGAGCCUUGAUGUGUAG